rnacentral:rRNA from 1 species
UACGUAGGGUGCGAGCGUUAUUCGGAAUUAUUGGGCGUAAAGGGCGCGUAGGCGGCUCGAUAAGUCAAAGGUGAAAUCCCUCGGCUCAACUGAGGAACUGCCUUUGAAACUGUCGAGCUCGAGUCCGGGAGGGGGUAGCGGAAUUCCCAGUGUAGCGGUGAAAUGCGUAGAUAUUGGGAGGAACACCAGUGGCGAAAGCGGCUACCUGGACCGGAACUGACGCUGAUGCGCGAAAGCGUGGGUAGCAAACAGG